UACGAAGGGUGCAAGCGUUACUCGGAAUUACUGGGCGUAAAGCGUGCGUAGGUGGUUUUUUAAGUCCGUUGUGAAAGCCCUGGGCUCAACCUGGGAAUGGCAGUGGAUACUGGAAAGCUAGAGUGCGGUAGAGGGUAGUGGAAUUCCCGGUGUAGCAGUGAAAUGCGUAGAGAUGCGGAGGAACACCAGUGGCGAAAGCGGCUUUCUGGUCCUUAACUGACGCUGAGGCGCGAAAGCAUGGGGAGCGAACGGG
rnacentral:rRNA from 1 species